UGGACGUUGGCUUAAAAGCUAAAUCACGUAAAUUCUUGUGUCUCAUUAUUUCUCUAUCUUUAUUUAUUGUCUAUUAAUUUAUUUUAUUUUCACGUCCAAAGAAGAUCUGGAUAUAGGGUUAUUCCCAACAAACUGGUAUCAGAGCUAUUAUAGCUAAUUCUUGUUUGAGUUUUGAGAUGACAACAACAAAGUUUGAUAUUGAAAAAUUUGAUUGCAAU
rnacentral:lncRNA from 1 species